rnacentral:rRNA from 1 species
GAUGAACGCUGGCGGCGUGCCUAACACAUGCAAGUCGAGCGUGAUUGGUGUAAGUGGAGACUUCGGUCGAAGCGAACAUCAUGAAAGCGGCGGACGGGUGAGUAACGCGUGGGCAACCUGCCCCAUACAGGCGGAUAGCCACUGGAAACGGUGAUUAAUACGCCAUAAGACCACGACACCGCAUGGUGACGGGGUCAAAGAUUUAUCGGUAUGGGGAUGGGGCCCGCGUCUGAUUAGCUGGUUGGUGAGGUAACGGCUCACCAAGGCGACGAUCAGUAACCGACCUGAGAGGGCGGACGGUCACACUGGAACUGAGACACGGUCCAGACACCUACGGGAGGCAG